ACUAUAGGCGUCAUCUGCAAAGAACGCCACAUCGUGUGGCAAAGCAGAUGUGACAAACUUCGUGUUUG
rfam:Caryophanon tenue strain DSM 14152 DSM_14152_R1_001_contig_14, whole genome shotgun sequence.